rnacentral:rRNA from 1 species
AGCAACAAAUGCCCUGCUUCCAGGAAAAGCCUCUAAGCAUCAGGUAACAUCAAAUCGUACCCCAAACCGACACAGGUGGUCAGGUAGAGAAUACCAAGGCGCUUGAGAGAACUCGGGUGAAGGAACUAGGCAAAAUGGUGCCGUAACUUCGGGAGAAGGCACGCUGACACGUAGGUGAAGUGAUUUACUCAUGGAGCUGAAGUCAGUCGAAGAUACCAGCUGGCUGCAACUGUUUAUUAAAAACACAGCACUGUGCAAACACGAAAGUGGACGUAUACGGUGUGACGCCUGCCCGGUGCCGGAAGGUUAAUUGAUGGGGUCAGCGCAAGCGAAGCUCCUGAUCGAAGCCCCGGUAAACGGCGGCCGUAACUAUAACGGUCCUAAGGUAGCGAAAUUCCUUGUCGGGUAAGUUCCGACCUGCACGAAUGGCGUAAUGAUGGCCAGGCUGUCUCCACCCGAGACUCAGUGAAAUUGAACUCGCUGUGAAGAUGCAGUGUACCCGCGGCAAGACGGAAAGACCCCGUGAACCUUUACUAUAGCUUGACACUGAACAUUGAGCCUUGAUGUGUAGGAUAGGUGGGAGGCUUUGAAGUGUGGACGCCAGUCUGCAUGGAGCCGACCUUGAAAUACCACCCUUUAAUGUUUGAUGUUCUAACGUGGACCCGUUACCCGGGUUGCGGACAGUGUCUGGUGGGUAGUUUGACUGGGGCGGUCUCCUCCUAAAGAGUAACGGAGGAGCACGAAGGUUGGCUAAUCCUGGUCGGACAUCAGGAGGUUAGUGCAAUGGCAUAAGCCAGCUUGACUGCGAGCGUGACGGCGCGAGCAGGUGCGAAAGCAGGUCAUAGUGAUCCGGUGGUUCUGAAUGGAAGGGCCAUCGCUCAACGGAUAAAAGGUACUCCGGGGAUAACAGGCUGAUACCGCCCAAGAGUUCAUAUCGACGGCGGUGUUUGGCACCUCGAUGUCGGCUCAUCACAUCCUGGGGCUGAAGUAGGUCCCAAGGGUAUGGCUGUUCGCCAUUUAAAGUGGUACGCGAGCUGGGUUUAGAACGUCGUGAGACAGUUCGGUCCCUAUCUGCCGUGGGCGCUGGAGAACUGAGGGGGGCUGCUCCUAGUACGAGAGGACCGGAGUGGACGCAUCACUGGUGUUCGGGUUGUCAUGCCAAUGGCACUGCCCGGUAGCUAAAUGCGGAAGAGAUAAGUGCUGAAAGCAUCUAAGCACGAAACUUGCCCCGAGAUGAGUUCUCCCUGAGACUUAAAGUCUCCUGAAGGAACGUUGAAGACGACGACGUUGAUAGGCCGGGUGUGUAAGCGCAGCGAUGCGUUGAGCUAACCGGUACUAAUGAACCGUGAGG